UGGGGAAUAUUGCACAAUGGGCGCAAGCCUGAUGCAGCCAUGCCGCGUGUGUGAAGAAGGCUUUCGGGUUGUAAAGCACUUUCAGCGAGGAGGAAAGGGUAUUGCUUAAUAGGUAAUAUCUGUGACGUUACUCGCAGAAGAAGCACCGGCUAACUCCGUGCCAGCAGCCGCGGUAAUACGGAGGGUGCGAGCGUUAAUCGGAAUUACUGGGCGUAAAGCGCGCGUAGGUGGUUAAUUAAGUCAGAUGUGAAAUCCCAGGGCUCAACCUUGGAACUGCAUUUGAAACUGGUUAACUAGAGUUUUGUAGAGGGUGGUAGAAUUUCAGGUGUAGCGGUGAAAUGCGUAGAGAUCUGAAGGAAUACCAGUGGCGAAGGCGGCCACCUGGACAAAGACUGACACUGAGGCGCGAAGGCGUGGGGAGCAAACG
rnacentral:rRNA from 1 species